AUACAAUUUAUUAUUUUACUAUAUUAUGGCACACAUAUUGUUGACAAAGCAUCACUAUAAACUAAACUCUGCUCAGAAUCAUUUUUUCGUAGGUAAUGGUUUAUCAUCGUUGCUUACAGGUAUAGGUACAUUAAAUCACCUAUAACAAUCGCUGCACCCGUCCCCAUUAUCCUAGGACGUCUUUUUUGAAAAUAAAGAUUAGAUAUCCAUUAUCAACAUUAAACUUAUUAGGUACCUAGGUACAAUACUGGUUGAAAUUAUAUUCGUGUAUGUAUAAAAAUACUCGGGAUCAUUAGCGCAAUACAAAUUACAGUAGGUAGGUAAAUUAUAAAUUUUUAAAUAUUAGUAGAUAGUUAGAAUUGUGAAAUUGAGACGUGUAUAUUCGAGGAAAGUAAUUUCGGUCAAUGACCACAGAUAGGUAGUUAAAUACCUAUAUUCUGCUGGCAUCGAAUUUCUAAGAUUAUGAUUGGCACGGUCUGUAUCUAUUAUUAUUCUUUUCAAUGAUCAAACGAAUCACGGAGACUAUAUACCUAAUAAUCAGUGAAUUUAAUAGGAAGGUGCGUUACCCUAGCACUACCAUGUCCUAAUUUUAACUUAAAAACCAUCUGGUGUAAUGCCAUUCAUUAACAAUAUACACACGAUUUUUUUUUUUUCAUGGGGAAGAAAUGGGUACCAAAACUAGCAGUACUAAUACUAAUUCAUUUUUAUAAAAAGUGACCGAACAAUUUUAAACAGUAAAACGUGAAUAAAAUUGUAUUGAAUAUUACUGAUAAGUUACUCGAAUUACAUUACCAAAUACAAACAUUCUCUAUCAAAACCUAUUCAAUUAAAUUAUGAGUGAUAACACCAUGAGUCCUAUAGCCAUAAAUCGUGUGACUCUAAAAAGUGUAUUAUAUUCUGAAAUGUUUAUUUUAAUUUUAAUAAUUUAACCAAACAAAUAUUAUAACUCAUAUAACGCAUAGUGUAUUAAUCGGAUGAAAUCUAUCAUAAUCACAUGAGCAUAAAAACAAAAAUUAUGAUAAAUUGCCUAUACACAACUCCUAAAAUACUUCAUAGUAAAAUAUAGCUUAUACCUAUCACCAACAAUAGAUUAUGGUAAUAAUUUGUAAUUAGUGUUUGAUACAUUCUUUUUAAAAAAAUUUGAAUAUUAACAUUUUGGAAUAAUUUAAAGUUGCUACUCUUUUUGAAUUUAAAAAUUUCC